UACGUAGGGUGCAAGCGUUGUCCGGAAUUAUUGGGCGUAAAGAGCUCGUAGGCGGUCUGUCGCGUCGGCUGUGAAAACCCGGAGCUCAACUCCGGGCCUGCAGUCGAUACGGGCAGACUGGAGUUCGGCAGGGGAGACUGGAAUUCCUGGUGUAGCGGUGAAAUGCGCAGAUAUCAGGAGGAACACCGGUGGCGAAGGCGGGUCUCUGGGCCGAUACUGACGCUGAGACGCGAAAGCGUGGGGAGCGAACAGG
rnacentral:rRNA from 1 species